GUAAAUGUAGUUUAACAAAAACAUUAGAUUGUGAGUCUAAUAAUAGAAGACCUAACCUUCUCAUUUACC
rnacentral:tRNA from 1 species